GAUGAACGCUGGCGGCGUGCCUAAUACAUGCCAGUCGAGCGAACAGACGAGGAGCUUGCUCCUCUGACGUUAGCGGCGGACGGGUGAGUAACACGUGGAUAACCUACCUAUAAGACUGGGAUAACUUCGGGAAACCGGAGCUAAUACCGGAUAAUAUAUUGAACCGCAUGGUUCAAUAGUGAAAGACGGUUUUGCUGUCACUUAUAGAUGGAUCCGCGCCGCAUUAGCUAGUUGGUAAGGUAACGGCUUACCAAGGCAACGAUGCGUAGCCGACCUGAGAGGGUGAUCGGCCACACGGGAACUGAGACACGGUCAAGACUCCUACGGGAGGCAGCAGUAGGGAAUCUUCCGCAAUGGGCGAAAGCUUGACGGAGCAACGCCGCGUGAGUGAUGAAGGUCUUCGGAUCGUAAAACUCUGUUAUUAGGGAAAAACAAAUGUGUAAGUAACUAUGCACGUCUUGACGGUACCUAAUCAGAAAGCCACGGCUAACUACGUG
rnacentral:rRNA from 1 species